GUCCAUUAAUACAGAACCAGAGACUUCUUGUGUGUGCAGUUUCCUCUUCAUAUAUUUAUUACUAACUAUUCUAUUUUCUUUCAAUUAAUAAAAAGGUACCUUCAAGUAAUUUUGAACCUUACCUGAUAACCCACAUAGUGGAUUCUUCUUGUGAUGACCUGGAAAUGCAAAUCAUGCAAGGGACCAAAAAUGAUGAUCCUGACAACCUUUACCACAUUUACUCCACCAUCCCUGGUUAGCCUGAGGGUCCAAACUAGAUGUCCCAUGAUGAUUUGUUGAAACAAAAGGUUUUUUUUCUACCUAUUAUAAGAGAACAAACUAACAAAAACUUUUCCUUCUAAGGUCAUAUUUUUAAAGUGUAUAAUUUA